AGAUGCGAUCAUACCAGCACUAAUGCACCGGGUCCCAUCAGAACUCCAUAGUUAAGGGUGCAAGAGCGAGAGUAGUACUAAGAUGGGUUACCUUCUGGAGAGUCCUCGUGUUGCAUCCC
rnacentral:rRNA from 1 species